UAGUCCACGCCCUAAACGAUGCUUACUGGAUGUUUGGAUUUAUUUGAGCAUCUGAGGGAAACCAUUAAGUAAGCCACCUGGGGAGUACGGUUCGCAAGAAUGAAACUCAAAGGAAUUGACGGGGGUUCCGCGACAAGCGGUGGAGCAUGUGGUUUAAUUCGAUGAUACGCGAGGAACCUUACCAGGGCUUAAAUGUAAGUUGCAUGAUCUAGAGAUAGGUCUUUCUUCGGACCACUUACAAGGUGCUGCAUGGUUGUCGUCAGCUCGUGCCGUGAGGUGUCAGGUUAAGUCCUAUAACGAGCGCAACCCCUGUUGUUAGUUGCCAGCAUGUAAAGAUGGGAACUCUAACAAGACUGCCGGUGCAAACCGCGAGGAAGGUGGGGAUGGACGUCAAAUCAAUCACGGCCCUUACGUCCUGGGCUACGACACGUGCUACAAUGGUAGGGACAGAGAGCAGCCACACUGCGAGGUGGAGCGAAUCUAUAACCCUAUCUCAGUUCGGAUCGG
rnacentral:rRNA from 1 species